rnacentral:rRNA from 1 species
UACGUAGGGGGCAAGCGUUGUCCGGAUUUAUUGGGCGUAAAGAGCGUGUAGGCGGCCAUACAGGUCAGCUGUGAAACUCGAGGCUCAACCUCGAGACGUCGGUUGAAACCGUAUGGCUAGAGUCCGGAAGAGGAGAGUGGAAUUCCCGGUGUAGCGGUGAAAUGCGCAGAUAUCGGGAAGAACACCCGUGGCGAAGGCGGCUCUCUGGGACGGUACUGACGCUGAGACGCGAAAGCGUGGGGAGCGAACGAGG